AACGAACGCUGGCGGCAUGCCUAACACAUGCAAGUCGAACGAGACCUUCGGGUCUAGUGGCGCACGGGUGCGUAACGCGUGGGAAUCUGCCCUUGGGUUCGGAAUAACAGUUGGAAACGACUGCUAAUACCGGAUGAUGACGUAAGUCCAAAGAUUUAUCGCCCAAGGAUGAGCCCGCGUAGGAUUAGCUAGUUGGUGAGGUAAAGGCUCACCAAGGCGACGAUCCUUAGCUGGUCUGUGAGGAUGAUCAGCCACACUGGGACUGAGACACGGCCCAGACUCCUACGGGAGGCAGCAGUGGGGAAUAUUGGACAGUGGGCGAAAGCCUGAUCCAGCACUGCCGCGUGAGUGAUGAAGGCCUUAGGGUUGUAAAGCUCUUUUACCCGGGAUGAUAAUGACAGUACCGGUAGAAUAAGCUCCGGCUACCUCCGU
rnacentral:rRNA from 1 species